rnacentral:rRNA from 1 species
CGGCUCACUUUCAAAGGGUNCACCUGCCCUAGAGACACGGACAACCCCCGGAAACUGGGAUUAAUCCGUGAUAGGUCACCUCAUCUGGAAGGAGAGAUGGCUUAAAGGGGUACGCGGGCUUCUUCUGCGUAUUCGCUCUAGGAUGGGACUGCGUCCGAUCAGGCUGUUGGCGGGGUAAUGGCCCACCAAACCUGUAACCGGUACGGGCCUUGAGAGAGGUGGCCCGGAGAUGGACACUGAGAGAAGGGUCCAGGUCCUACGGGGCGCAGCAGGCGCGAAACCUUCGCAAUGCGCGAAAGCGUGACGAGGUUAAUCCGAGUGGUCCCCGCUGAGGGGAUCUUUUGUCAGCUGUAAAUAGGCAGGCGAAUAAGGGGAGGGCAAGCCUGGUGUCAGCCGCCGCGGUAAUACCAGCUCCUCGAGUGGUCGGGGCGAUUAUUGGGCCUAAAGCAUCCGUAGCCGGUUCCGUAGGUCCUCUGUUAAAUCCAACCGCUUAACGGUUGACCUGCAGAGGAUACCGCGGGACUAGGAGGCGGGAGAGGCGGACGGUACUCCGCGUGUAGGGGUAAAAUCCUUUGAUCCGCGGAAGA